GACGAACGCUGGCGGCGUGCUUAACACAUGCAAGUCGAACGGAAAGGCCCUGCUUUUGUGGGGUGCUCGAGUGGCGAACGGGUGAGUAACACGUGAGUAACCUGCCCUUGACUUUGGGAUAACUUCAGGAAACUGGGGUUAAUACCGGAUAGGAGCUCCUGUUGCAUGGUGGGGGGUGGAAAGUUUCGGCGGUAGGGGAUGGACUCGCGGCUUAUCAGCUUGUUGGUGGGGUAGGGGAUUACCAAGGCUUUGACGGGUAGGCGGCCUGUGAGGGUGACCGGCCACAUUGGGCCUGAGAUAGGGCGCAGACUGCUACGGGAGGCAACAGUGGGGAAUAUUGCACAAUGGGCGGGCGCCUGAUGCAGCAACGCCGCGUGCGGGAUGACGUCCUUCGGGUUGUAAACCGCUUUCGCCUGUGACGAAGCGUGAGUGACGGUACUGGGUAAAGAAGCACCGGCUAACUACGUG
rnacentral:rRNA from 1 species